ACAGUCUUCAGCUUCCCAUCCUUCACUAACUGAACUAGAUAUUCCAGGCCCUCACGCUUGACUGUUACGAAAAAUGGCACCAGCUGCUUCUUUGAAAAGGUAAGUUUCUUCAGGGCGAAAGUCGUCAAUGAACUCAGACUAGGCGUCAAAUCAACUACCUUUCCAUUUUCAGUCAAAUUAGGGUCAAAAGUUGACCAUGGUAUUCCGGUUGUACAAUGUAUCACUGCAUCGUAUUUCCUACCAGAUGGACUUGUUAGAGCUGCUCCCUCUGGAGUCCUGUAGUCAAGAACCUCAUCAGCACCUAAACUCUUAACAAAGUCAAUGUUGCGAGCCCCGCAAGUGGCUGUCACAUGUGUGUUCCCGAGUUUUGCUAGUUGAACAGCAUAGUGACCGACACCGCCUGAUGCAGCAGUUAUUAAAAUGUUCUUGGGCUGUCCACUCCCAUCAAGCUUGACUCCUGCAACUUGAGUGAGGGCAUCAUGAGCAGUGAGACCAGCAAUAGGUAAGGCUGCAGCUUCAGCAGCCAACACUUCGGAUGGUCUGGCAGCGGUUAAGCUCUCACUAGCCACAGCAAACUCAGCAAAUCCACCUCCAUACUGCCAUUCAGCAUAAACAACACAUACAAUGGUUAUCAGAUAGUUAACUGAGUAAAUCAUAAAUAAUAACAUGCCAGUUAGGUUCUGUCUAAUCUUGGAACAUGAUUGUGUUGUUGUCAUAUCAGUUGGUGCUCGAGAUUUAGCUGCAGAAACAGCCCUUCCAUUGACAGGGGGCUCCAUACAUAAGAGCAUAAGACCCUCCCCCAAAGCCCACAAUGGCAGGAGCCUGGAGCAUACUGCCCAAGUAAUUGACUAAAUCUAAUGCACACUCAAGUAAAGCAUAUGGUUGUCCUUUGGUAGUUAUAAAUUUAUUACCGAUAGAGGGUAUGAAAUCAAUAUCUAUGACAAAUAUUCCUUGGUUUUUCAGAUCACCAAAGAGUAAGGAGAAUUCCAAUUCAACCCUUUGAUUGAAAACUGAAUUUGUGCUGCAAUUUGCAUUUGAAAGAUGAUUUUAUUCUUCCUCUAUUUAAAAAGUUUUGCUUCUUGUCCACAAUAAUCUAGAUUUAGCCAAGGUUAGAAUUGUACCCCCAACCCAAAGGUAGUCAAACAUCAUUUUAAGUUGAAAAACAGUAGGAAAGGGAAAGAAGAAGAAGAAUAAAAGUACUUGAUGAGUGAGUUUAGCAACAACUUUGUCACCAACUUUAAAAUCUUUGACUUGUGGUCCAACCUCUACUACCUCUCCUGCAACAUCAGUGCCUGUUCCAGAAAUGGUUAUAUUAUUAUAAAGCAAGAGGAUGGGAUGUAAUUAUAACAUAAAUCAAUUGGAAUUGGAAUUGGAAUUGGAAUUGGAAUUGAGGGAUUAACUUACAAGGAAUAUGGGGAAACUGACGAGGUAAGAAUAAAGGGCGCAGAAGACCUUUCUGAAUCUUCCAAUCAACGGGGUUAAUGGUAAUUGCAUCCAAUUUCAGCAAAACCUCAUUUUUAUUUGGACUGGGAACAGGAACUUCAACAUGCUGCUUAUAUAAGAUCAAAAUUAACUAUUUUCAAUCAAAGCAAGUAACAUCUAAAUCAUAUUAUAAAAGAUUAAAAUAAGAUCCGCUUGUCUUGAUUCUGAAUUAUGUUGCAAAGAAGGAAGAAGCAAUAACCUAAAAUCCUAUUUAUUUAUGUUGUAGAAUUGUGAGUUGAGAAAGAAUGAAAGAGAAUAAUAAUAAAGAAAUAAAAAGGAGAGUGAAACCUUCAAGGAUGCGGAACCACCACCGUAGGAAUCGUAGUGAAGAGCUUGCAUCAACUUCCUCGACAUAUCUGAUGAUAUGAUAUCAAUCGUUUCAACACUUCCUCCUCAAUCUCUUAUAUAUAUAGUAUAGACACAUGGAGUCAGAAUAAUAAAUAUUAAUUUUCAUUUCUUACUUUAACAAUCAAGAUAAAUAAAUGACUUUUUCCCACUAUAUUUGGUAAAUGCGAUGCAAAUUAUGUAUAUAUUAUUUACGAAAUUAAUUUUACUUCCAUGCUACUAUCAAAUAAAUAUUAUCAUAAAAUAUUUAAAAAAAUGAGUAUAAAAAAGUGUUCAAGCUCCCUAUUGUGAACUUUGGUAAUAACAAUGAAGUGGCUGAAUUGUAAUGCUUCCAUUGCAAGUGCUCCCUCCCGCUUAAGCGUCCUUAGUAGAGAGCAUUUUGGAUCUCUUGCGUCCAUACAAGAUUACACAAUAGAAGGAUUUUCUCCAUCUUAGGGUUGUUUCAUAUGCCUGACUUCUAUAGUCAUAAAUUACCAAUGUACAUAAACAGAAUCAAAAACAAAUUUACAAUCCUCUCUAUGUUUUGUUUCACCUUUGCUGCUUUGAAAAUCAUUAUAAUUUUGAAAGAUUAAAAAAUCAAUGAACGUAAUUUGUAAUAAAACUUACUGAUACCAUUUGACACAGACAGUCAAACCUAAUAAUGGAAUUAAGUAGCUAUCCUUGGCAGGUAUAAUUGGAGCUCCUUCUUAUAAGCCUUUCCCAUAAUCUCAUAUUUCUCAUUACUAUUGAAGACAAAUUCCUUUUUGUAGGAGUUGGAUUCACGCCGGAUAUUGUUCACAAGAUACUUUUAAAAGAUCCUUUUGAUCAAGUGAAUUUAUACCAAAUCCUUACAUAUAAAAGUCAAUGAAAUUGGGAUGAUGUAGUGAUGCCAUAUAAAAUUCUUGUCAAGUGCAUACAUCCCUUUCUCUUGAAUUUUUAUUCAAAAAUUGAUAUUUGUUAUUAUGUGAUGCAAAAACUGAAGAUGAAGUAAUAGAAAUUUUAUUGUUGUUGGUGAGAAUAUAGUUUGUGUAAUUUUUAGCAGUGGAGUUAAACGAGCAGGUAUUGUUGUUCCUUGAGACAGAUAUUCAACUAAAGUAUAUAAUGCGAAAUAGAUAUUGAAAUCUUAACGUUAAGAGUUUAUUGGCUUGGCUGAAAUUGGUGCACGUGGGGUGAGCCACAAGUAAGAGAGAAUGAUGUGAUGUAGCUAAUUAAUUAAAGCUAUAUGUAAGUAUGUCUUUUAUUUUUAUGGUUCAUUUGGUGUUACUUGCAAGCAACCUCAAUACAACUAGGUUAUUAAAAUGUGGUGUUGGAACAAUAACAUUCACAUAUGCGUGGUUUGGUGCUGCAAUGCAGUAGUUCACAGAACUUCACACUAGGAGAUUGAGAGUGGUAAGGAUUUGGUGUGUGAAUAUGGAUGGAGGGUCAGGAGACUUGUUCCCAACUCAUGAAAUUAGGAAUCUGAGCAAAUUCAAGCCCGAGCAUCCCACCUCCCGAGAAAGUGUACUAUAAUCUACAUACAUAGCAUGUGGUAACAGAUGAUAAUUCACCAUUUCUAACCGUUGAUUUUCUUUUCUGAAAUUAGACUUCUCACCUUGAAUUUCACUUUCUUCUCAAGUUCUUAACCCCUUUCUAGAAAACAAAACUUGGUAGGAGACAAGACAAGUAAUCCAAUACAGCAUCCUUAUGUUAUCAUUUACAAACCAUCAAGAGAAUAUCAACAAACAUGUACUUCAAUCCUUUCAGCAUAUGAUAUGCCUACUUAUUCAUUUAUAUAUGAGCUUACAGAAAACAUUGCACAAUAAGAUAGGAAUACAGCAAACCAAGCAAACUGUGAUUACGGUUCCACAAUGAUUUUUCCAGUAGCAUGGCCGUCAAUGCUCUUAGCCCAAGCAUCUUCAGCUUUGCUCAAAGGAAACUUAGAGUCAAUAACAGUCUUCAGCUUCCCAUCCUUCACUAACUGAACUAGAUAUUCCAGGCCCUCACGCUUGACUGUUACGAAAAAUGGCACCAGCUGCUUCUUUGAAAAGGUAAGUUUCUUCAGGGCGAAAGUCGUCAAUGAACUCAGACUAGGCGUCAAAUCAACUACCUUUCCAUUUUCAGUCAAAUUAGGGUCAAAAGUUGACCAUGGUAUUCCGGUUGUACAAUGUAUCACUGCAUCGUAUUUCCUACCAGA
rnacentral:lncRNA from 1 species